UUCCUAGGUGAUUCUGACGCAGGCGCUCCACGGAAACCCUCCGAGAAUUCUGGGGGCCGUGGGGCCGCCCAGCUCAGUCCGGAGCUCCGGAACUCGGGGAAGAGCGUCCGGGAGCCGGGUCUGGGUUCCGCACUCCGUCCGCCCCGAUGGCAGAGAGUGAGAUACGGACGCCCCGGGACGAGGGGCUCAGGACCCGGCUACGGACACCUGCCUCCAUCUCCCUCCAGAUAACACAAGUGUGAAGAGAGGGGAGAGCAGCAAAGGCUGAGCUGCGUGUGCCUGGUCCCUUCCAGACUUUCCAGAUAACUUUGCCCCACGGAGGACAAGGAAAGCCAAAAGAGAGAAGCCAGGAUUGUUAGUCUUGGAAAAUGCCUCCAUAUAGAAACAUGAGCCGGAGAAUAAAUCACUUGCCUCUCUAACCAGUUGGAUUUGGUCCGUGAGUUCCUAGUUUUGUUCACCUGACUUAGUCCCUGACUUUUAAAGUCAAGUGCAUCAACAUGCUGCCAGUACUUUGAUGAACAUCUAUACAGGAUCCAUCUCUACAGCAGUGAAUUCCACCUGGGGUAAAGUAUGCAUGUAGGUUAGGAUGCUACAGUGGGACUCUGUCUGCUUUUUCUGUCUGUUUCUGCUAAGGCCUCCACACAUUAGAUGGUCAGUACUCUUUGUUCUAUGGGAAGGGCUAGAAUACCUAAACAGGACUUUCACGGAGGGAGCAACAAACCAGUUUUGUGGCUCUCAGCAAACAUCCAUCUCAAAGGUGAGUUUGGAAAUAAUGGAGAGUAUGUCAGUGUGUUUGUGUCUCAGGCCUACUUCCCACGCCUAUGGGGGAAGGGUGGGACUUAUCUCUCUCUUCCCUCAAGCCUGCUAAGAGGAGAUUAGACUAUAUUUGAGAUAAAUACCUCCAGCACAGUGACAGCCAUGCAGCUCAUGCCUGUGAAAUCAAAAGGCAAGAGGAUGCGGCUGGCUGGCUGCUCUGAGGGCAGAGAGAAAAGACCAGACAGCUCUUGGAACAGACUGUUCUUCCAGUGACGAUGGGGACAAAGAUGCAUGAGUGUAUCUCCAGGACUGGAUGUGAGCUGCAUGGGAGAAAAAGAGUGCAGGCCUGCAGCCCGGGAAAACCCAAAAGGAUGCCAUAAACCCAACAGGAAGAUGGGUUGUCAGGGCCCCAGGAGCUGAGAAAGGAAUAAAAAUGACAGAGAGAGAAAAGUACAUUGUCCACAUCAUAAAUAACACAGCUGAAUGUGCCCAAUGAGGUCCUCAGAGAACCCACAGAAGUGCCCAUGGGAACAGUUCUCUCUGGGACUCAAACCCAGGGAGAGGUGCUUUUAAACAUGCAAAGAGAGGGAACCAUCAUCAUAUUACAUUGCAGUGUCCACAUGAAUAAGACCCUAACUUACCUCAUAUUUCUCCUCCUUCCUCUGCUUUAAUCCAGGAGGAGCCAGAGACCUCUCAGUAAGUGAAGAAGAGGGGAAAUAGGUAAAAAGCCACUAUUCCCCAUGUUAGAUGAGGAAAUAGGAACAUUCUCCUCCUCUACCCAACACCCACUGUAGCUUUUAGUGGCUGGAGUCAGGAGAGAAAAGUUUUCAUGUUAAAUGAAUUUCAGAGGUUUGACUAUGACAUAGAAAUGGAUAUUUUAAUUACUGAAAUAAAACUGUUUUGUAA
rnacentral:lncRNA from 1 species